rnacentral:rRNA from 1 species
GACGAACGCUGGCGGCGUGCCUAAUACAUGCAAGUAGAACGCACAGGAUGCGCCGUAGUUUACUACACCGUAUUCUGUGAGUUGCGAACGGGUGAGUAACGCGUAGGUAACCUGCCUGGUAGCGGGGGAUAACUAUUGGAAACGAUAGCUAAUACCGUAUAAGAACAUUUACUGCAUGGUAGAUGUUUAAAAGGUGCAAGAGCAUCACUACCAGAUGGACCUGCGUUGUAUUAGCUAGUUGGUGAGGUAACGGCUCACCAAGGCAACGAUACAUAGCCGACCUGAGAGGGUGAUCGGCCACACUGGGACUGAGACACGGCCCAGACUCCUACGGGAGGCAGCAGUAGGGAAUCUUCGGCAAUGGGGGGAACCCUGACCGAGCAACGCCGCGUGAGUGAAGAAGGUUUUCGGAUCGUAAAGCUCUGUUGUUAAGGAAGAACGUGUGUGAGAGUGGAAAGUUCACACAGUGACGGUACUUAACCAGAAUGGGACGGCUAACUACGUGCCAGCAGCCGCGGUAAUACGUAGGUCCCGAGCGUUGUCCGGAUUUAUUGGGCGUAAAGCGAGCGCAGGCGGUUAGAUAAGUCUGAAGUGAAAGGCAGUGGCUCAACCAUUGUAGGCUUUGGAAACUGUUUAACUUGAGUGCAGAAGGGGAGAGUGGAAUUCCAUGUGUAGCGGUGAAAUGCGUAGAUAUAUGGAGGAACACCGGUGGCGAAAGCGGCUCUCUGGUCUGUAACUGACGCUGAGGCUCGAAAGCGUGGGGAGCGAACAGG